AUAACGCUAGCGGCAGGCCUAACACAUGCAAGUCGAGGGGUAACAGGGGUAGCGAUACCUGCUGACGACCGGCGUACGGGUGAGUAACGCGUAUGCAACCUUCCUCAGACUGGGGCAUAGCCCGGAGAAAUUCGGAUUAAUACCCCAUAGCAUCCGGAAUUCGCAUGAUUUCCGGAUUAAAGCUCCGGCGGUUUGAGAUGGGCAUGCGUGACAUUAGCUUGUUGGUGAGGUAACGGCUCACCAAGGCAACGAUGUCUAGGGGGUCUGAGAGGAUGAUCCCCCACACUGGUACUGAGACACGGACCAGACUCCUACGGGAGGCAGCAGUGAGGAAUAUUGGGCAAUGGACGCAAGUCUGACCCAGCCAUGCCGCGUGCAGGAUGACGGCCCUAUGGGUUGUAAACUGCUUUUGUACGGGAAGAAAUCCCCGGUCGUGACCGGGGUUGACGGUACCGUGCGAAUAAGCAUCGGCUAACUCCGUGCCAGCAGCCGCGGUAAUACGGAGGAUGCAAGCGUUAUCCGGAUUUAUUGGGUUUAAAGGGUGCGUAGGCGGAAUGAUAAGUCAGUGGUGAAAUCCUGCGGCUUAACCGUAGAACUGCCAUUGAUACUGUUAUUCUUGAGUGCAGUCGAGGUGGGCGGAAUGUGUAAUGUAGCGGUGAAAUGCUUAGAGAUUACACAGAACACCGAUUGCGAAGGCAGCUCACUAGGCUGUAACUGACGCUGAGGCACGAAAGCGUGGGUAGCGAACAGGAUUAAAUACCCUGG
rnacentral:rRNA from 1 species